CGAGUGAAGCGGCAAAAGCUCAAAUUUGAAAUCCUUCGGGAGUUGUAAUUUGUAGGUUGGGAGACCCCGCGGCUAGUGGCACCAAGUCCCUUGGAACAGGGCGCCUUAGAGGGUGAGAGCCCCGUAGGUACCACAACACCGUCUUGUGUCUCCUCUCCAAAGAGUCGAGUUGUUUGGGAAUGCAGCUCAAAGUGGGUGGUAAAUUCCAUCUAAAGCUAAAUACCGGCGAGAGACCGAUAGCGAACAAGUACAGUGAUGGAAAGAUGAAAAGCACUUUGAAAAGAGAGUGAAACAGUACGUGAAAUUGUUGAAAGGGAAGGGCUUGCAAGCAGACACGGCCUUCGUGCCGGGCCAGCAUCGGUUGCUAGGGGUGGAUAAGGAACAAGGAAUGUAGCUCCUCGGAGUAUUAUAGCCUUGCGCGAUACACCCACUGGCGACCGAGGCCUGCGGUAUUCUUUACCUAGG
rnacentral:rRNA from 1 species